rnacentral:rRNA from 1 species
AACGAACGCUGGCGGCAUGCCUAACACAUGCAAGUCGAACGAACUCUUCGGAGUUAGUGGCGCACGGGUGCGUAACGCGUGGGAAUCUGCCCUUGGGUACGGAAUAACUCAGAGAAAUUUGUGCUAAUACCGUAUAAUGACUUCGGUCCAAAGAUUUAUCGCCCAAGGAUGAGCCCGCGUAAGAUUAGCUAGUUGGUGGGGUAAAAGCCUACCAAGGCGACGAUCUUUAGCUGGUCUGAGAGGAUGAUCAGCCACACUGGGACUGAGACACGGCCCAGACUCCUACGGGAGGCAGCAGUGGGGAAUAUUGGACAAUGGGCGAAAGCCUGAUCCAGCAAUGCCGCGUGAGUGAUGAAGGCCUUAGGGUUGUAAAGCUCUUUACCCGGGAUGAUAAUGACAGUACCGGGAGAAUAAGCUCCGGCUAACUCCGUGCCAGCAGCCGCGGUAAAGUGACUACUG